CCAUAGACUGUAUAUACUAUGGACAACUUGGUUCCGCCUACCGCCUGUAUACGGAUUUGAAGCCAAAAAGCUCUCGGUAUUUCCGGGAUUUUUCUUCAUUUCCUGAAACCAGCGCUGCGCAGUAGCAAUGCGAGCAAUCGGCCGCGCAGUCGCAGAGAGUCGCUGUGAUGACGCUCCGCUCAAACAGCGUGUCCCCCGGGAGAGCUACGCAAUACCUAAACGCCCAUAGGCUGUAUCAGGUGUCAAUCAUAGCAAACAUGAACCCCCUAAUAACUUUUAAAAACCGAACUUCACAGAAGAGAGAGGACUUGAG